GCUACUGCCAUCAGAGUUCGAUUAAGCCAUGUUAGUCGAGGGUGCUUCUUCUUCGGAAGAGGUAACCCGGCGGACGGCUCAGUAACACGUGGAUAACUUGCCCUUGGGUCCGGGAUAACCCCUGAGAAAUUGGGGACAAUACCGGAUAGGGCAUCGAUAGCUGGAAUGCGCGAUGUCCAAAAGCUGAGGCGCCCAAGGAUAGGUCUGCGGCCGAUUAGGUUGUUGUUGAUGUAAUGGAUCAACAAGCCUGCAAUCGGUACGGGUUGUGAGAGCAAGAGCCCGGAGAUGGGUUCUGAGAAAAGAACCCAGGUCCUACGGGACGCAUCAGGCGCGAAAACUUUACAAUGUGCGAAAGCACGAUAAGGGAACUCUGAGUGCCUCCUAUGGAGGCUGUUCAGGUGUCUAAAAAGCACUUGAAGUAAGGGCUGGGUAAGACCGGUGCCAGCCGCCGCGGUAACACCGGCAGCCCAAGUGGUAGCCACGAUUAUUGGGUCUAAAGCGUCCGUAGCCGGCCAGGUAAGUUCUUUGGGAAAUUUAACCGCUUAACGGUUAAGCUUUCAGGGAAUACUGCUUGGCUUGGGACCGGGAGAGGUCAGAGGUACUUCAAGGGUAGGGGUGGAAUCCGUUAAUCCUUGAGGGACCACCAGUAGCGAAGGCGUCUGACCAGACCGGGUCCGACGGUGAGGGACGAAGGCUAGGGUCGCGAACCGGAUUAGAUACCCGGGUAGUCCUAGCUGUAAACGAUGCGGGGCCAGGUGUUGGCAUUACUGCCGAGUGAUGUCAGUGCCGAAGGGAAAGCCGUUUAA
rnacentral:rRNA from 1 species